UGAACGCUAGCGACAGGCCUAACACAUGCAAGUCGAGGGGCAGCACAAGGAGCAAUCUGAGGUGGCGACCGGCGCACGGGUGAGUAACACGUAUGCAACCUGCCUGUAAGCGGGGAAUAACCCGUUGAAAGACGGACUAAUACCGCAUAAUACUAAAUUACUGCAUGGUAAUUUAUUUAAACAUUUAUGGCUUACAGAUGGGCAUGCGCAUGAUUAGCUAGUUGGAGAGGUAACGGCUCCCCAAGGCAACGAUCAUUAGGGGUUCUGAGAGGAAGGUCCCCCCACACUGGUACUGAGACACGGACCAGACUCCUACGGGAGGCAGCAGUGAGGAAUAUUGGUCAAUGGACGAGAGUCUGAACCAGCCAAGUCGCGUGCAGGAAGAAUGUCCUAUGGAUUGUAAACUGCUUUUGCAGGGGAAUAAAGUGCAUCACGUGUGAUGUUUUGUAUGUACUCUGCGAAUAAGGAUCGGCUAACUCCGUGCCAGCCGCCGC
rnacentral:rRNA from 1 species